CCUUCUUUUUCUGCAUCUCCAGUGUCCCUUCUGCCUGACUCUCUGUGCAUCUUGAAAGGAGAAACGGUGCCCAUGGGUUGGACAAUGAGGCUGGUCACAGCAGCACUGUUACUGGGUCUCAUGAUGGUGGUCACUGGAGACGAGGACGAGAACAGCCCGUGUGCCCAUGAGGCCCUCUUGGAUGAGGACACCCUCUUUUGCCAGGGCCUUGAAGUUUUCUACCCAGAGUUGGGGAGCAUUGGCUGCAAGGUUGUUCCUGAUUGUAACAACUACAGACAGAAGAUCACCUCCUGGAUGGAGCCGAUAGUCAAGUUCCCGGGGGCCGUGGACGGCGCAACCUACAUCCUGGUGAUGGUGGAUCCAGAUGCCCCUAGCAGAGCAGAACCCAGACAGAGAUUCUGGAGACAUUGGCUGGUAACAGAUAUCGAGAUGGCGAAAGCAGAGCCCAGAGAGGUUGAAUGAUGCCAUCUCUUAGC
rnacentral:sRNA from 1 species